rnacentral:rRNA from 1 species
GACGAACGCUGGCGGCGUGCUUAACACAUGCAAGUCGAACGGUGAAAGCGGAGCUUGCUCCGCUGGAUCAGUGGCGAACGGGUGAGUAACACGUGGGCAACCUGCCCCUCACUUCGGGAUAACUCCGGGAAACCGGGGCUAAUACCGGAUAUGACCUCCUUGGGCAUCCUUGGAGGUGGAAAGUUUUUCGGUGAGGGAUGGGCCCGCGGCCUAUCAGCUUGUUGGUGAGGUAGUGGCUCACCAAGGCGACGACGGGUAGCCGGCCUGAGAGGGCGACCGGCCACACUGGGACUGAGACACGGCCCAGACUCCUACGGGAGGCAGCAGUGGGGAAUAUUGCGCAAUGGGCGAAAGCCUGACGCAGCAACGCCGCGUGCGGGAUGACGGCCUUCGGGUUGUAAACCGCUUUCAGCAGGGAAGAAGCCGCAAGGUGACGGUACCUGCAGAAGAAGCACCGGCUAACUACGUGCCAGCCGCCGCUGUAA